GGAUGUGAGGGCAAUCUGGCUGUGACCUCUGUCACCCCAUUGAUUGCCAGGGUGACUCAGCUGAUCUGGCUGACUAGGCAAGUGUCGCCUUCCUCCCUCACCACUCCAUGUGUGACCCUUCCAAAGCUGAGGGGUCUGUCGAAGAGGAGAAUCACCCCUGAUAGAGGAGGACUGUUUCCUCGGUCAUGGGUAUAUGAGCAGCUGGGCUCCCCUACUAGAACCUCCAAACAAGCUCUCGAGAUAGAAAAUAAAUAUAAUUGUGUCAAUAAGGUUAGUAAUUUCACCUUAUUAUUUGGCAGUAGUAACAAUAAUUUAAAAUGUAGGUAU
ensembl:misc_RNA 7SK 7SK RNA